rnacentral:rRNA from 1 species
ACUGCAGUCGACGGUGACGACGGGGCUUGCUCUGUCUGAUCAGUGGCGAACGGGUGAGUAACACGUGAGUAACCUGCCCCCGACUCUGGAAUAACCGUGGGAAACGACGGCUAAUACCGGAUAUGAGACGCACGGGCAUCUGUGUGUCUGGAAAGAUUUAUCGGUCAGGGAUGGACUCGCGGCCUAUCAGCUUGUUGGUGGGGUAAUGGCCCACCAAGGCGACGACGGGUAGCCGGCCUGAGAGGGCGACCGGCCACACUGGGACUGAGAUACGGCCCAGACUCCUACGGGAGGCAGCAGUGGGGAAUAUUGCACAAUGGGCGCAAGCCUGAUGCAGCGACGCCGCGUGAGGGAUGAAGGCCUUCGGGUUGUAAACCUCUUUCAGCAGGGAAGAAGCGAAAGUGACGGUACCUGCAGAAGAAGCGCCGGCUAACUACGUGCCAGCAGCCGCGGUAAUACGUAGGGCGCAAGCGUUGUCCGGAAUUAUUGGGCGUAAAGAGCUCGUAGGCGGUUUGUCGCGUCUGCUGUGAAAACCUGAGGCUCAACCUCGGGCUUGCAGUGGGUACGGGCAGACUAGAGUGCGGUAGGGGUGACUGGAAUUCCUGGUGUAGCGGUGGAAUGCGCAGAUAUCAGGAGGAACACCGAUGGCGAAGGCAGGUCACUGGGCCGCAACUGACGCUGAGGAGCGAAAGCAUGGGGAGCGAACAGGAUUAGAUACCCUGGUAGUCCAUGCCGUAAACGUUGGGCACUAGGUGUGGGGCUCAUUCCACGAGUUCCGUGCCGCAGCAAACGCAUUAAGUGCCCCGCCUGGGGAGUACGGCCGCAAGGC